AUUGAACGCUGGCGGCAGGCCUAACACAUGCAAGUCGAACGAGUGGCGGACGGGUGUGUCAUGUCUGGGAACCUGCCUGAUGGAGGGGGAUAACUCCUGGAAACGGUACCUACUCCCGCAUACCAUCACUUGUUCCCCGAUGGGCUUCGCUUGUUUGGGGGGUAACGGCGAACAAAGGCGACGAUCCCUAGCUGGUCUGAGAGGAUGACCAGCAAAACUGGAACGGAGACAGGGUCCAGAUGCCUACGGGAGGAAGAAGUGGGGAAUAUGGCACAAUGGGCGCAAGCCGGAUGAAGCCAUGCCGCGGGUAUGAAGAAGGCCUUCGGGUGGUAAAGUACUUUCAGCGGGGAGGCGUUACCCGCAGAAGAAGCACCGGCUAACUCCGUGCCAGCAGCGGCGGUAAUUC
rnacentral:rRNA from 1 species